AUAGCCAAACUGGCCUCUUUGCUGUUCGUAGAACACAUUGAGCAUCGCCCCACCUCAGGGCCUUUGCAUGAUUCCAUUUGUCAAUUUUGGCUUUUGUUGCCAUUGCUUUUGGUGUUUUAGACAUGAAGUCCUUGCCCAUGCCUAUUCUGUCUCGUUGAUCUGUCUAAUGUUGACAGUGGGGUGUUAAAGUCUCCCAUUAUUAAUGUGUGGGAGUCUAAGUCUCUUUGUAGGUCACUCAGGACUUGCUUUAUGAAUCUGGGUGCUCCUGUAUUGGGUGCAUAUAUAUUUAGGAUAGUUAGCUCUUCUUGUUGAAUUGAUCCCUUUACCAUUAUGUAAUGGCCUUCUUGGUCUCUUUUGAUCUUUGUUGGUUUAAAGUCUGUUUUAUCAGAGACUAGGAUUGCAACCCCUGCCUUUUUUUGUUUUCCAUUUGCUUGGUAGAUCUUCCUCCAUCCUUUUAUUUUGAACCUAUGUGUCUCUGCAUGUGAGAUGGGUUUCCUGAAUACAGCACACUGAUGGGUCUUGACUCUUUAUGCAAUGUGCCAGUCUGUGCCUUUUAAUUGGAGCAUUUAGUCCAUUUGCAUUUAAAGUUAAUAUUGUUAUGUGAGAGUUUGAU
rnacentral:lncRNA from 10 species